rnacentral:lncRNA from 1 species
GGUGCAUGAAACAUAGUGAACAAUCAUUGAGUUCUUUUCUAGAUCCAAUUUUUCACCACGUCAAUAUCCAACUUUGGUGUAGCAUUUGAGUUGAGAUCGUUGAUUUCGAACACACUUCUAUAUAUUGUGGAUGCGUCUUCGUGCUGGUAUUAUAUCACGGUCAAUAAAAUUUUAGUAUUUAGGUUGUUAACAGAUAUAAAUGUUGUUAAUUCGUUGUAUGUCAUGAAAAAUAUGAGAUAGAAGUUGAUCAAAUAUUUAAAGCUGUUUUAUUUAUUUUUAACACAUGGCUGAUGGCAAGUAUUUAAUGUUGGAACUAUUUUUUUGAACAAUAUGAAUAAUGUAUUCAUAUGUCAAAAAAUAAAUUUUAUUUGAAUGAAAAAUGAAGGUUUAAUGUGUGUGAUUUGAAAAACUUGUAUAAAGUAACAAAUACACACAUUAAAU